GUAGGACCACAUGCUAUGAUAUCCAUAGGAUCCCCAAGAACAUCAGAUAAGAUUAAAGUGAUAACCUGUCAUGAAUAUCAAAUAAAGUCUACAUUUAAGAUUUUUUGGAAUCUCCUUCGACAAGUAUAUGAAGACUCAGUUGUUUGUCUGAAUGGCUGAUAGUUGGUCGAACUGAUCGUCUAAAACAAAAGAAUGUCUCAUUUUGAAAGGGCCAUUGAAAUUCCGUUGUUGCGUGGAUAAAGUGCUGUCUAAACAGGUAUCACGAAAAAAAUUCAAUCCUAAAACUGACGCAUGUUGAUUGUCAGUCUUAAUGAAGGAAGGUAUCUUUACUCUUACCUCACUUACAUUCUGCGUGCCAAUUGGCACACUUGCGACACCUUGGACAAUGUGGGAACCAAGAACCUUCUCAACGGCCUGAAC